rnacentral:lncRNA from 1 species
AUUCUCUUGUCAGGACCACUUAUGUUCAACAAACUAGACGUGCAUGUGUGUGUGUGUGUGUUUGCUUUACUCAUACUGUGAAUUUUUUUCUUGCAGCUGAUUUGGAGUGAUGACUCUAAAGAAGAGAUAAGUUGCGUGGUGAAAACAAACAAAAGGAGAAAUUAUUGAAGAAUCCUUUCCUCAAAAAACUCCAAGUAGGACUUGGGCUUGGUGAUCUGUUUAUAAAGCCUCUUCAGAUCUUCAUCUGGGAGCAUUUUAUGGAGCAGGUGGAUAUCCUACUGCUUGGAGCUGUGAGCUCGCUUUGGAGACCAUCUUCCCCUUGGAAUAUGGCAGAUGACUGAGAAAUGAGGUGAACCCUGAUAGUGUGGACCACAGAUAGCUUAACUCUUUGAAGAUAUGCCUAUUUUGACUCCACCUAUAAGAGAGCACUACUCUGCCUGCUAAGACAGAAUGGAAC